CACCUGUCCUUUCCUACCUAGGCCUUUUCUAGUGUGGGAUUUAAAGUUGUGUGUAACUCGUGACAGCAUACCUUUAAAUCCUGGUCUGGACAAGGUCCUAGAGUUGACAUCUCUAGCUG
rnacentral:precursor_RNA from 10 species